AUUUGAGUACACUGAAGCUGUCUUCAGACACACUAGGAGAGGGCAUUGGAUCCCAUUACAGAUGGUUGUGAGCCAUGAUCGCUGGGAAUUGAACUCAGGACCUCUGGCAGAGCAGUCGAUGCUCUUAACCACUGAGCCAUCUCUCCAGUCCGACCAUGCGGAAUCUUAAAAAGACGGGAGUCACAGCUCAUUUCUUAAUGGACUAGGUUGUUGUAGGACGUUACCCUUUUUUCUUGGAUCUUCCCGAAUGUCUUUUUGCUGAGCUAGAGUGGGGGAAACUAAUUUCUUUGAAUAUUCAAGAAAGGUAAGAAGGCCCAUAGUUGUUUGAGGUUUCGGGAUCGGUGCUAUCAAAGUUCAAUCGGUCUUCCUCUGACCACUCCGUUACUCUUUUCACUUUGGUCUUUUCUUUUUGCCAACACCCACAUCUCUUAUCUUCUUACCGGGUUUUAAUUCUAAGUACAACAUUCAGCGUACCUGCUGUUGUUUACAGCUCACCUGGUGUUGUUGCCCAGCUCCAUAAGGGCAAGGACUUUGAAUUGCUCCCGAUGGUAUCACCAGAUCCCAGAAUUUGUUAAGCAUUCCAGUAAACGUUUGAUACGUAAAUGAACAUUAUAAACUAUUGCAGGAAACUCCCUGAUUGCUGCAACCCAAAGGGUUUUUUUAAUUUUUCAUAGCAUUUACUGUGUUUUUGUCGUUUGUUUGUUUGUUUUUGAGACAGGGUUUUUUUUGUGUGUGUGUAGCCUUGGCUAUCCUGAAACUCUCCCUGCAGACCAAGCUGCCCUUGAACUCAGAGACCCAUCUGUCUGCCUCUGCCUCCCGUGACCCAGCUAUGUCUCUGUCUUCGAGACCGGAGCUUACUUUGGUGUAUUUAAAACUGGCCUUGAACCCUUGAUCCACUUUCCUCCACCUCCUAAGUAGUAGGAUUUUUGAGAUCUCUUAGUCUAUUGCUUUUACUGUUAACUUUAAUUAAUUUAUAUAUCUGAAUCCCUACUAAGAUUGUCAGGACUUCCUAUGUGUCUCUAUCUGUCUACCUUAUCUCCCUUUCCUACCUUCACUCCCUGUCAACUGGUCUCUUGUUCUUCCUCUUGACCCAUGACUGACUUUAUUUAAUCCCGUUUACAAUAAACAGAAAGCUCAUAGAUUUAAAAAAAAAAAAAAGAUUGUCAGGAAUCUGAUUCACAUACUGAAAUAAUAUAUGUGUAAAGUCACAGAUGCUGACCCUGUAGAGCUCAGCUUCCUUCUAUCUCGGGCCUUCCCUAAGCUGCUAAACUGCUAGCAUGUAACAGCCCCAAGGUAGGAUGGGGCAAUGGGACUAACUUCAUAAAUGCCUUCUUUUUUUUAAUUUAAAAAAAUUUAUUAUUAUUAUUAUUUGGUUUUGGUUUUUCAAGACAGAGUUUCUCUGUGUAGCCCUGGCUGUCCUGGAACUCACUCUGUAGACCAGGGUAGCCUCGAACUCAGAAAUCUGCCUCCCAAGUGCUGGGAUUAAAGGCAUGAGCCACAACCACCCAGCUCAAAAAUGCCUUCUUUACAUCCUAUCUGCUACCUUCACUAAUCUGCUAGGCUCUGAGACCCCCUACCUCUCUUAAGACUGUGACUGUUAGUAAUUUCCUUUGUUCUGCAGGUGCCUGGUGGCACUCAUGUGCCAGCUUCCUCUGCUUCAAGUAGCCAGUGAUUAAAAGACAUGGUUACCAGAAAUCCAUCUCGGUACCAAAUCUGGAAAGAAUCUUUAGUAUUUAAAAUAAUGUUUGUUUAUUUAUGUAUUUAUUUAGUAAGUAUAUGUAGCCACAGGUCUGUCUCAGCUCAUGCAAAUGGGUUCCCAUAGUGAGAAAGCAAAAUUACUCUAACAAAGAGCUAUGAUCUUAUUCUACAGAUAAUUAAAGUGGGACUGUCAGUUCAAGUGACUUCUUCCCCCAAAGUCACAGCCAGGAAUCGCAAAAGUUAGCUUUAUAUCUUUGUUUCUUUAGGAUAGGGUCUCACUAUGUAGCUCUGGCUAACCUGGAACUCACUAUGUAGAUCAGGUUGACCAGAUAGCCUUGUCUACUCUUGUAGCCCAGCCUGGUCACAAACUUGCUAGGAUAACUUUGAAUUUCUAAUGCUGCUGCCUCAGUGGCUUUCCUUGGUGCUGGAUUAUAAACAUAAAUCUCCAUACCUUUUAUUUGUGUGUGUGUGUGUGUGUGUGUGUGUGUGUGUGUGUGUGUGUGUGUGUGUGUCUAAGCCAUUAUUAAAUGUCUUCC
rnacentral:lncRNA from 1 species